CUAUGCCGGAUCAAUGAGCACCUUCAGUCUUUUUUAUUAACUGAAUGCACACGCCUGUGGUUAGUGUGUACAGUUUAGUAUGUCAUAUACACUUGGUACUGGACAGCAGAUAGCAAGCAUUUUGGGGGACAAAAACUGUUGGUUCUCUUGAACAGGCCAUAUGCCCAGAAUUGGAACAUAAUUUCAUUGCAGUGAUAAGUUACAAAUGGCCAUUUCAUCAUUUUGUUGGACAAGCCAUUCUCACUACAAACAAUUUACAAAGUUUUUUUGCUUUCUAUACAAAUUACAGAACACAUGCAACCCCAUUUUUCAGAACAAGUGGUCUGCUGCCUGUGU
rnacentral:sRNA from 1 species